ACGAAUGAAUUAAUAAUUAAUUCAUGUGAUAUAUGAAAGUUAUCAGAAGAAAAAGUAGGGUCUUUCACUUCGAUAACCCUAUUUGACCGAGCUGUUCGUCUGGGAAAGGUGAAAGUCUGUUGAAAGUCGAAGACAGCCUUCAAGAAAUGCGACUACUUGUUGGAAAGGACGAGCAACUGAAGACAUGACACGGUUGAGAUAUUUUAGCCAUGUUUGAAAGCGGCAGGUUAAAUACAGAAAAAUCGUCGAUGACAUAAAGAUACAUGUCGAGCGUACGGACAGUGAAAGAACGCGAACUCUGGCAGUGGUACAAGAGAUGAAGAUCAAGAAGAAGAUAGAGAGGAGUACGUUAUUAUUUUUUCCUGUCCUAAUCUUAACUUGUUUUAGAUUUUCGUUUAGAUGAGGAGGAGGCUGAUGAAAAGAAGAGGAUGCUGACGGAGAGACGAGGAAGAUGCUGACGGAGCUACGAGGAGGAUGCUGAUGGUGCUACGAAGA